AUGAUUGGUGCUUUUUGGAAUAUUAGGGGCCUAAAUGGGUCCUGUAAAAGCACCAGACUGCAGGAGCUUAUUAAAGCUACUUGACCUGAUUUUAUUUGCAUCUCUGAGACUAAGAAAGCUAAUUUUACUCUUCCUCAACUAGAUGCCAUUGAUACUAAAAGUGGUUUCUGGUGGAACUGGCUCCCUACUAUCAAUACAGCAGGGGGGAUUCUAGUUGGUGUUAAGGAAGAUAUUUUUCAUAUAGUUAACUGCAAUGUUAAAUCUUAUUGUAUUUCUUGUAUUUUGAAAUGUAAGCACAAUAACACUGUGUGGAGACUGGUAGCAGUAUAUGGGACUGCUUAUGAGGAACAUAAGCUUGACUUUAUUAAUGAGUUGCAUUCUAUUUUAGCUAGCUGGUUUGGACCUACUUUAGUGGGUGGAGAUUUUAAUCUCAUCAGAGUAGCUGGGGAGAAAAGUACAGGUUUGAUUAACCAUCAUUGGGCUGACUUGUUCAAUGAUUGGGUCAACAAGUAUGGCCUCAUAGAACUAAAGAAUGCAGGUAGAAAGUUUACUUGGGCUAAUAACCAGGAUGACCUUGUUAUGGCUACUUUAGACAGGAUUUUUAUUUCAGUAGAUUGGAACAGACUAUUCCCUGCUUGCCAUGUUAAGGCCUUGCCUAGAGUUGGUAGUGAUCAUACUCCUUUAGUAUUAGACACUGCUGCUUUACAUAUUCCCACUGAUAAAAUGUUUAGAUUUGAAAAAUGGUGGCUGGAAAUUCCUAGCUUUGAUGAUGUUAUUCAUAAAGCCUGGAACACCAAAUGUCCUGACAGCAAAGCUAUUGAUGUUUAUCAAUUUAAGAUUCGUGUAAUCAGGAAAGCUGCUAAGGGCUGGUGUGCUAAUUAUGAGGUUUCCCAGAAUAAUGUGAAACAAGCUCUAGUGGUUGAAUAUAAAUGCUUAGAUAUUUUGGCUGAAUCUCAGCCUCUUUCUCCUAACUCUAAACAUAAGAUGAAAAAAAUGCAGGGGAUUUGA
rnacentral:rRNA from 1 species